UACGUAGGUGGCAAGCGUUGUCCGGAUUUACUGGGCGUAAAGAGCGCGCAGGCGGUCGAAUAAGUCGAAUGUGAAAGCCCCCGGCUCAACUGGGGAGGGUCAUUCGAUACUGCUCGACUUGAAGGCAGGAGAGGGUAGUGGAAUUCCCGGUGUAGUGGUGAAAUGCGUAGAGAUGUGGAGGAACACCAGUGGCGAAGGCGGCUUUCUGGUCUGUAACGUGACGCUGAGGCGCGAAAGCGUGGGGAGCAAACAGG
rnacentral:rRNA from 1 species